rnacentral:rRNA from 1 species
ACGAACGCUGGCGGCUUGCCUAAUACAUGCAAGUAGAACGCACAGUUUAUACCGUAGCUUGCUACACCAUAGACUGUGAGUUGCGAACGGGUGAGUAACGCGUAGGUAACCUGCCUGGUAGCGGGGGAUAACUAUUGGAAACGAUAGCUAAUACCGCAUAAUAUUAAUUAUUGCAUGAUAAUUAAUUGAAAGGUGCAAUUGCACCACUACCAGAUGGACCUGCGUUGUAUUAGCUAGUAGGUGAGGUAACGGCUCACCUAGGCGACGAUACAUAGCCGACCUGAGAGGGUGAUCGGCCACACUGGGACUGAGACACGGCCCAGACUCCUACGGGAGGCAGCAGUAGGGAAGCUUCGGCAAUGGACGAAAGUCUGACCGAGCAACGCCGCGGGAGUGAAGAAGGGUGUCGGAUCGUAAAGCUCUGUUGUAAGAGAAGAACGGGUGUGAGAGUGGAAAGUUCACACUGUGACGGUAUCUUAACAGAAAGGGACGGCUAACUACGUG